rnacentral:rRNA from 1 species
UACGUAGGGGGCAAGCGUUGUCCGGAUUUAUUGGGCGUAAAGAGCGUGUAGGCGGCCAAACAGGUCAGCUGUGAAAACUCGAGGCUCAACCUCGAGACGUCGGUUGAAACCGUUUGGCUAGAGUCCGGAAGAGGAGAGUGGAAAUUCCCGGUGUAGGCGGUGGAAAUGCGCAGAUAUCGGGAAAGAACACCCGGUGGCGAAGGCGGCUCUCUGGGACGGUACUGACGCUGAG